UACGUAGGGAGCAAGCGUUGUCGUGAAUCAUUGGGCGUAAAGCGCGCGUAGGUGGUCCCGUAAGUCCGCUGUGAAAGUCAAAGGCUCAACCUUUGAAAGCCGGUGGAUACUGUGGGACUAGAGUACGGAAGAGGCGAGUGGAAUUCCUGGUGUAGCGGUGGAAUGCGCAGAUAUCAGGAGGAACACCAAUAGCGAAGGCAGCUCGCUGGGACGUUUACUGACACUGAGGCGCGAAAGCGUGGGGAGCGAACAGG
rnacentral:rRNA from 1 species